rnacentral:rRNA from 1 species
ACGUAGGUUCCGAGCGUUAUCCGGAUUUACUGGGCGUAAAGCGCGUUCAGGCGGUUUGGCAAGUCGGGCAUGAAAUCUCUCGGCUCAACCGGGAGAGGUUGUCCGAUACUUCCAGACUUGAGGGCAGUAGAGGGUGGUGGAAUUCCGGGUGUAGUGGUGAAAUGCGUAGAUAUCCGGAGGAACACCAGUGGCGAAAGCGGCCACCUGGACUGCACCUGACGCUGACACGCGAAAGCUAGGGGAGCGAACGGG